AUUGAACGCUGGCGGCAGGCCUAACACAUGCAAGUCGAACGAGUGGCGGACGGGUGAGUAAUGUCUGGGAAACUGCCUGAUGGAGGGGGAUCAAUACUGGAAACGGUAGCUAAUACCGCAUACCAUCGGAUGUGCCCAUAUGGGAUUAGAUAGUAGGAGGGGUAAAGGAUCACAAAGGCGACGAUCCCUAGCUGGUCUGAGAGGAUGCCCAGCCAAACUGGAACUUGGACACGGUCCAGACUCCUACGUGUGGCAGAAGGGGGGAAUAUUGCACAAUGGGCUAAAGCCUGAUGCGGCCAUGCCGCGUGUAUGAAGAAGGCCGUCGGGUUGUAAAGUACUUGAAGCGGGGAGGCGUUACCCGCAGAAGAAGCACCGGCUAACUCCGUGCCAGCAGCCGCGGUAAUUC
rnacentral:rRNA from 1 species